UGGAUAUCAUCUCCUGAGUGCACUUUGUCU
rnacentral:piRNA from 1 species